rnacentral:tRNA from 1 species
GCGGGUGUGGCGUAGUGGUAGCGCACAACCUUCCCAAGGUUGGAGUACGGGUCCGAUUCCCGUCACCCGCU